rnacentral:lncRNA from 1 species
UGCCUUUUAUCUUUUAUUUUGGUGACGUUCAGCACUUACUUUCAGCGAAUCCCCGCACCCACCCACAGGCUUACUUGCUUCAACCGUGCAGGGCCCCAGCAGGGCAGGGCAGCCCAGCCACCUCAGGGUACCCCGUGUGGCCCCCCCCUCGGCUCCCCCACAGCCCCCGGCAGCAGUCCCGCCCUCCUCCCGCCCCUCAGGAAGGAUAUGAGGAGCCGGGGCAGGACGGCGGGCAGCUCCCUGCGGCACAGCUCCCAGUCCCAGCCUCCCAGCUCCCGCAGGAGCAACUCGAGAUCGGUUUGGGACAUUGCACUCGCUCCGCUCCCCUCAGCGGCGGCGGCGGCGGGAAAACCCAACUCAGCGCCGCGCUCCCAGCAGCCUCUGCGGUCGCGGGGCCGCUGCGUACGUAUUCUACGCCCCCUUUUUCCCAGCGGGUGCGCAUGCGCAUAUGGAAGCGGAAGCGCAACCACGUGUGCCAGGCGGAGGGGGAUUGCGCCCUGCAGCCGGCGGAAUCAUUCGCCUGAUUCAUUGGCGAGGCAGCGGGUUUGCUGCCCGCCGAGCGCUCAUUCCCACAGCGAAAAGUG